rnacentral:rRNA from 1 species
UACGUAGGGUGCAAGCGUUAAUCGGAAUUACUGGGCGUAAAGCGUGCGCAGGCGGUUUUGCAAGACUGUUGUGAAAUCCCCGGGCUUAACCUGGGAAUGGCGUUGGUGACUGCAAGGCUAGAGUUUGGCAGAGGGGGGUAGAAUUCCACGUGUAGCAGUGAAAUGCGUAGAUAUGUGGAGGAACACCGAUGGCGAAGGCAGCCCCCUGGGUCAAAACUGACGCUCAUGCACGAAAGCGUGGGGAGCAAACAGG